rnacentral:rRNA from 1 species
CCUACGGGGGGCAGCAGUCGAGAAUCAUUCACAAUGGGGGAAACCCUGAUGGUGCGACGCCGCGUGGGGGAAUGAAGGUCUUCGGAUUGUAAACCCCUGUCAUGUGGGAGCAAAUUAAAAAGAUAGUACCACAAGAGGAAGAGACGGCUAACUCGGUGCCAGCAGCCGCGGUAAUACAGAGGUCUCAAGCGGUGUUCGGAAUCACUGGGCGUAAAGCGUGCGGAGGCUGUUUCGUAAGUCGUGUGUGAAAGGCGCGGGCUCAACCCGCGGACGGCACAUGAUACUGCGAGACUAGAGUAAGGGAGGGGGAACCGGAAUUCUCGGUGUAGCAGUGAAAUGCGUAGAUAUCGAGAGGAACACUCGUGGCGAAGGCGGGUUCCUGGACAUUAACUGACGCUGAGGCACGAAGGCCAGGGGAGCGAAAGGGAUUAGAUACCCCAGUAGUC